CGUGUGAUUCAUCACAAACAGAAAUAAAAAGUCCCAGCUAAACACAGCAGCAAUAAACACUCACUCAUUCACAAAAAUAAGAACAAACAAGAGUGAUCACAUCUGAAAAAAAUAUAACUUUAAUAUAAUUACUUUUAAUUUUUUUAGCUGCUGUAAUGAAUUACAUGUAACUGUUAAUGAAUUACAGUUAACAUCCUGAUUAGCUUAGCUACAUAGCUAGCUAGCUAACGCCAUAGCCAUAUGUAUUCCUUUACUACCCAACCCUGUAGCUAUUUAAAUUCCCUGGCCACUUUAUUAGAAACCCCUAUGGGAAGCCCCCUCCACACAAUUAAACAGUUAAAUUUUAUCUGUUCUGUAUCUGCUGCCAUUAUUAUUGUUCUCUACAGCAGCUCUUUAUGAAUUCUCAGUUUCUAAAAGCUGCAGAGCUGCUCUUGCUCUGGAUUUUAGGGUUUGGGAUUUAAUGUAAAAUAGUCAAAUAUAAAAUGUUCUGCAGUUUAAUAUCACUACUAAACUGAACAUAUUAGAUUUUAACAGUUUUAUUACCAUAGAUACAAAUAAAAACAGCCCCAGGUCAGGCUGUGUUUAUUCAAAUCAUAAUCAGACUUCUGAGAAACAUGGCUGAGUUUAUACCUUUUACUGAGAGAUAUCUACUGAGGCUGAUCUACUACACUGCCUCAGGUCCUUCAUCCACAGAAUCAGGGAAAGAGCAGUGGUAUGAAACACACACUGCACUGGUGCGAGUGACAAACACAGGAGACAAGCAACUGUCAAAGUGCAACAUAGAGAGUCUGGCCUUGAGCAUCCCUGAGCUGAACCAUCGAGCGAUGGGCUACAGAAAUGUCCCCAUCCUUCUGUAUACAAUCCUAAUAUGGGUGGAGAACAUCCCUUUGGACCUCAGCCUACCUCAUCGAACCAGAGCACAGUUAUCCUCCAAUUUAUACAGUCAACCCAGGCCCCAGACAGACUGCCAGGCAUCAACAUCAAGAGCUUCACCACUGCCCCCUCUGCUGGCUCCAUCCGAGAGUGACUGCUGUGUCACUGCAGAUCACCCAAGUAGUGACAGCUUCUUUACAGCUGGCCUGAACCACAAGGAGUGGACCACAGUAACCUAUAGGGACUAUGAUUUCAUCAGGUCCAUCUGCCCAGUCUACUCUACAGAUGAUGAAGUGGACGUUAUAUGGUGCUGCUCUGUCUCUGAUUACACUGCUUAUGGACAGCUGGUCUUUUCUGUAGACAUGGACUUUCUGUGUGAGGCCAAGCAGGUAGAUAGUAACCUCAGUUGUGAUGGCACACCAGAGGGAAUGAACAAAGACCAGAAGAUGGCUAAUUGCAGGCCAGUUAGCUGUAAAACAAGCUAAUCUUUAAAAUAUAUUAAAUAAUCUUAAUAUCUGUUAGUUCAUAGAUUUGAUCAAAUUUACUUUUUUUUGCCUUCUCAUUGUUUGGUGUCUGAUGUAUGAUGUUUUAAAAGAUUUUAUGUGAUGUAGCCUUUUUUUAGUUUUCUGUCGGAAAUAUGAGUGCAAGCUACGUUUGUGAAUCCUUAGUGAACUGUUCUUUUUUAAGUAAACAGCUUUUAAUUGAAAUAGAAUCAUGGGUGUGCAGGCUGAGUGGUUUAGCUAAUAUUAACAAUAAGGUAGACCAGUUCAGGUCAACCUAUCAAAAAAAAAAAACAUGCAUGUAGUCUUAAAUAAAUAUAAAUUACACAUAAAUACA
ensembl:lncRNA